rnacentral:rRNA from 1 species
CAAACCCCAGGGUCUAGAUGGCAGACCACCAGAAUCAGCCAUGGUAACGAAAUCCUUGUUGACAGACUUGUAUUCCUUGCAUCACUUGUAGCCCUCAAGUCUUCAAAUAUUAACAUCAUCUUGGGUAUGGACUGGAUGACAGCUCAUCAUGCCAAGAUUGAUUGUUACACAAGAUCUGUUCAGCUUACACACCCAUCUGGCAAGAUAGUCACCGUCUCCACUAGAGUUGCAAAGCGUCAACUCUAUUCUCUUAAUGCCAGCCCUCUUCCAGACCUUGAAGAUAUCCCGGUAGUCCGUGACUUUCCGGAUGUCUUUCCAGAGGAACUGCCAGGUGUUCCACCUGACAGAGAUGUAGAGUUCGUCAUAGAUCUUAUCCCAGGAACAGCUCCAAUCUCCCGGAGACCUUACAAGAUGGCACCCUUAGAACUAGCCGAGCUUAAGAAACAACUCGAUGAGUCCUUGCAAAAGGGUUUCAUCCGUCCUAGUUCUUCUCCUUGGGCUUGCCCCGUCCUCUUCGUCAAGAAGAAGGAUGGUACGGACCGGAUGGUUGUAGAUUAUCGUCCCGUUAAUUUGGUCACGAUAAAGAACAAGUAUCCGCUUCCCAGGAUCAACGACCUGUAUGAUCAGCUCGCUGGAUCCUCAGUCUUCUCCAAGAUGGAUUUAAGGUUAGGCUACCAUCAAAUCAAGAUCAGAAACGGGGACAUUCCCAAGACAGCUUUUGUCACUCGUUAUGGCCAGUACGAGUACACCGUC